rnacentral:rRNA from 1 species
AGUGAACGCUGGCGGUAGGCCUAACACAUGCAAGUCGAACGGCAGCACAGUAAGAGCUUGCUCUUACGGGUGGCGAGUGGCGGACGGGUGAGGAAUACAUCGGAAUCUACUUUUUCGUGGGGGAUAACGUAGGGAAACUUACGCUAAUACCGCAUACGACCUACGGGUGAAAGCAGGGGAUGUUCGGACCUUGCGCGAUUGAAUGAGCCGAUGUCGGAUUAGCUAGUUGGCGGGGUAAAGGCCCACCAAGGCGACGAUCCGUAGCUGGUCUGAGAGGAUGAUCAGCCACACUGGAACUGAGACACGGUCCAGACUCCUACGGGAGGCAGCAGUGGGGAAUAUUGGACAAUGGGCGCAAGCCUGAUCCAGCCAUACCGCGUGGGUGAAGAAGGCCUUCGGGUUGGAAAGCCCUUUUGUUGGGAAAGAAAAGCAGCAGGUUAAUACCCCGCUGUUCUGACGGUACCCAAAGAAUAAGCACCGGCUAACUUCGUG